UACGUAGGUGGCAAGCGUUGUCCGGAUUUACUGGGCGUAAAGAGCGCGCAGGCGGUCGUUCAAGUCGCGUGUGAAAUCCCCCGGCUCAACUGGGGAGGGUCACGCGAUACUGAUCGACUCGAAGGCAGGAGAGGGUAGUGGAAUUCCCGGUGUAGUGGUGAAAUGCGUAGAUAUCGGGAGGAACACCAGUGGCGAAGGCGACUACCUGGCCUGUUCUUGACGCUGAGGCGCGAAAGCUAGGGGAGCAAACGGG
rnacentral:rRNA from 1 species